GUCGCUUCAGUCGAAAACUUGUUGGAGAGCCACUCACCUGAUCUCCACCCGCCAUUGAUCCUGGGUCAAAGGCCGACCCGGUCACCGUUUGCAAAGGUGUUGUGCAGUUUGUGCAGAUGUCCUUCCAGAGACGACACAUCCAGCUCUGUGUCUCCAUAGAGGUAGUAUUCAAGCAGGGCCUGGUAGAUGAAUGAGUACUGCAUCUGGGCCAUUCUCCCGCUCUCUUUGUUCAGUGAAUGGGUUCAGGUUCAAAAUAAAGACUGUGCAAUUACAGCAGAAAAAGUGAUGACAAAGGGGAGAUAACAGGAAAGUCGGAGCAGCGACUGGGCUGGAGAUAAAACCCUGGAGGUCAAAGGAGAACUUUUUCUUGGACUCUUCAGCAGGGGGAGCUGAGACACAUUUAAGAAAUAAACGAGGCUGAAAAUCA